rnacentral:rRNA from 1 species
GAUGAACGCUGGCGGCGUGCCUAAUACAUGCAAGUCGAGCGAACAGACGAGGAGCUUGCUCCUUUGACGUUAGCGGCGGACGGGUGAGUAACACGUGGGUAACCUACCUAUAAGACUGGGAUAACUUCGGGAAACCGGAGCUAAUACCGGAUAAUAUUUCGAACCGCAUGGUUCGAUAGUGAAAGAUGGCUUUGCUAUCACUUAUAGAUGGACCUGCGCCGUAUUAGCUAGUUGGUAAGGUAACGGCUUACCAAGGCAACGAUACGUAGCCGACCUGAGAGGGUGAUCGGCCACACUGGAACUGAGACACGGUCCAGACUCCUACGGGAGGCAGCAGUAGGGAAUCUUCCGCAAUGGGCGAAAGCCUGACGGAGCAACGCCGCGUGAGUGAUGAAGGUCUUCGGAUCGUAAAACUCUGCUAUUAGGGAAGAACAAACGUGUAAGUAACUGUGCACGUCUUGACGGUACCUAAUCAGAAAGCCACGGCUAACUACGUG